rnacentral:lncRNA from 1 species
UUUGCAUUUCAUAUUCACUUCUCUAAAAGAUAACUGUUAACAUGGAUUUAGUUUAUAAAAAAAAUGUAUUCCUCUUAUUUUUUUUUUAAAAUGUUUAUAAAGUUGAGCAUAACAAGUACAUAGUAGUCUCCCUUUGACUCUAUUGUGUUAGAAUAGAGUGGCUAUUAUAUAUCCUCUUCUAGAUAGGCACAUAGUAUAUUGGCAAUAAGAGAGGAAACCCUUCCCUAACGACAAGAAAAAGAAAGUGAAGACUAAUCAAGUUAGUCUAUAGCCUUUGAAAAGGAAUGAACAAAGCCUAUAUGUAUUAUUGACAUUCAAAUUCAGAACAUUCUUAUUAUCUAAAUUAAAAAAAUUU